rnacentral:miRNA from 1 species
GCUGGCCCUGUGGUCUAGUGGUUAGGGGAGCCAGAUCCCACAUGGCUGACCAUGGUUCAAAUCCCAGCC